GACUGAAACAAUAUGGAUGGGUCUUAGGAAAAGAAGGCAAGAUAUUGAUAAUGGUCUUCAGAAAAAUGCAUUUCCUCAGAUGGAAGUAGUUAAGACCCAAGAGGGAACUAUUUUAAGGGGAAAAAUUUUGGAGAACUGGCAAUGGCUUAAGAAAUUUCUGUUAAAGGAAGACAUACAGACUAUCCCAACAUGAAAAAUGGUUUAGAAAGUUGUAAGAAACUUACUUGGCAAACAGACCUUUAGGGAUCUCAGAGACAGGUGGGAAAUGCACAGGAUCAAGAAACUUCAUCAAAGCACUAUGGACAAGUUUAUUAGACAAGCACAAAUAUAUAGGGACAAAAGGUAGACAAAGAACAACAAAAAAGCGUCUGAUAAGUAUAAGAAGAAUGAGAUGAAUGUCCAUGACACAGUUGUUCCUCAUCUCAAGGGAGAGGAAGAUGUCAGCCAAAUACAUAAAAAAAUAACGCUAUCUCAAAAGUGAUUAGGUGUUUGGCACAAUUAACAUUACUGAAAAGAAACGAGAAGUCAGGCUAUAAUGGGAGAAAAAAAGAUAUAGCAGGUAGGUGUUUCAAAUGAUCUGGACUUGACAACAUUCACCUAUGUGUAUUCUGGAAGAUAGCUGGAAAAACCCACAGAGAAAUGGUAAUGACAUUUGAGAACAUGGGCUGGGGAGUGAAGUGGGCAAAGACUAACAUAGUGCCAAUCUUUGGAAAGAAGGAUGGGGUGAUACAGUGAGUUGGCAUGAUUUAAGUUUUCAGAAUAAAGUUGAAAUAAAUACUCAGUCUGUAAGCAUGCAGAAGACAACAGAGGUAUAAAUAACAGCCAAAACAUUUCUUCUUUUUAUAAAGAACAACCUUCAUUGAAGAAAUUUAAUUUCUUUUUUUUUGACAAAGCAAUAAGCUUGGAGGAUAGGAAAGAAACCAUAGAUGUCAAAUAGUAUGACUUAAGGUCUGGACAUUAUUUCACUAGAUAGUCUCCUAAGCAAUUUUGGGAAAUGACGAUUAGAUAAUGCUACUAUUUCUUGUACUGCUGUUUGACUGGAAAAUAGCAAAGCAUUAAUAACUAUUCUCUGAGAAGCAUCAGACCAGAACAAUGUAUUAAGAAACAAAAGCAUAAGUCUGUCAUAGGACAGGUACCAGUCAACUUUUUUUUUAUUAACGACUUUGAGAUUCUACAGACUGAUGGCAUUUGCAAUUCAUGUGAACAAGCAGGAAGACAAGACUGAAAUCUGAAAUUGUCUUGACAGAUUGGAAAAAUCUUCUGGAAAAAAUAAAGUCCAAUUCAAUAAGGCCAAAUGUAAAAUUCUAGCCCUCACAAAGAAUAAUCAGCUGUGCGAUACGGGAGAGUGGAUGAGUAGCAGCAGCCAGCGGAGGAGACUUGGGGCCAUAGCAGGCACAUAAGGAACGUUUGUCAGGAAUUCACGCUGCUGUGGAAAAGGAAACUGCCCUGCAGAGAUUGGAAUGCACCAGGCUAUUGCAUCAAGCAGAAUAAUUUUUCAUGAAACAGGGAAAAAAAGGCAGAAGAGGAACUGGAAUUCACAGAGAUAUCGUUAUGUAUAACUGAAAACCAGGAGGGACGGUAAGGAAGGCGUAUCAUUUGAAUCAUCCCUUACAGCUGCAGGACUGGGACCUGUGAUGGUGAGGAUGCAGAUGGUCUGGAGCAUCAGAGCUGUGGUUUAUGAAUGUGACCACCAGAAACUACAAGAUUCUACAUAGCAGAAGUUUCUAUGAACUGCCAACACACUAGUUUAUGUUCACAAAUUCCUUUCAGUUUAUAAAUUGGGGUCAGUAACUUCACAAACUGAGGCACAGGUUGCUGCAAAGGUUUUUGCUCAGAACCAAAUCUCUGCCUAUUUCUUAUGUGGCCACUAAACUUUGUUGCCACUGCCCGUGAUGAUUAGAAUAGAAUAGAAUAGAAUAGAAUGGAAUAGAAUAGAAUUGAAUAAUUAUUAAUAAAUAAUUAAAUGUUAAAAAUUAAAUGCUAAAUUUAUAUAGCUUGUUUUUUUUAGAAGAAUAGCACUACAGAGGACAUCUGGAUCUACCAGAGAUGGUGAAAUUUCACCCAGCAUCUGGCACCCCGAAAGUGCUGCUGGCAGCCUGCUGCUUGCCAGGGCGGGAUUAAUUCCUGUGCCGAUGUGGUGGCUUUGGCACGGAUCAACAUGAGGAAUGUCAACAUCAAUUACCUGUUAAAUCUUACCAAAAUGCUGUGACAUGGAGGCAGAAUAGACUUCCAGAGCAGACAGGCUAUAGCACGUAGAAGCAAGUCACCGAGAUUUUAUACAGCUGUCACGCUUGCAAAGAAUUUAUUCUGUGGUUCUGUUUUUAUUCCACGGGCACGUAGUUUAAUUUGCCAAACUGUAAUCAUGCCAAUAUUAAUUAUCCAUAAUGAGUCAGUCAUGCAAAGUAAAACCUGACCACCAGGGAGAUAUUAGAGGUGAUGUACUUAUUUUUUAUGUGCAUAUUAAUCUGCUAACUUUAAAUCUAAAGAACAUUGUUAGACUGAAAAGGCACUCAUUAUUAAAAUUAGGCUGAAAGUUAUAAGGCAGAAAAGAUGCUGAAUGAUCUCAUGUGGCAACAGUGAUUUACAAAUAUUCCUUAUUAAAAACAGAAAGAGGUUGUGUUUCAACACUUUAAUUAUUCUGUAAACAGUAUCCGAUUAACUUGUAUUAAUCUUAUGUUUGUUUGUUUUCUUGACCUGUGUGAAUGGCACAGGAAUUUAUUAGCAUUUUUCAUUUAUACCCAUUUACAAAGAUGUCAAGGUGAUAGAGUAACUGAGGUUACAGGGUUGGGAGGGGAAGAAAUGAUAGCCAAUGUCUACUUAGCAGAGUGUACAUAAGCUAAACAAGUGACUGUGAACUGCAGCCAUGCGAUGUUUUUCAUUUAUGAUAAACUUGUCCGAAAUCGCAGCAUUUCUCAGAGUUCAGUGUGACAUCAGGCGGAUGACUCUACUAGUACUGAAAACAGGUUUGUUAUGUUAAUGAGUAAUUAAGCUAAGUAAACUAUAUAUUUGCUGACUUCAAGAUAUGUAAAGCUCCCCAAAGACAAAUAAGAUAAGGGUAUAAUCUGAAGUAUUUUAGGAAUCUUGUGGCAGCGUGCUUAGAUUAGUCCAAAGGGAUAGGCAUGUUUGUUUUUUGAGCAUCCUUUCCUGAGCAGAUUUGAGAUAACCCUCGUGACUCUGCUCUCCAAGGAGAGUGCUAUGUCUAAUCCAUUGCAAAGCUGUCUGUGCCUUUUACUAAUAAUCUAAUGGACUGAGCCCAGCUCUGAAAUUUGGAGUGUUGUUAUAUUGAACCAUACAUUUAUAGCUAUUAACAUAAUAUGGAAUACUGCCAUUUCACAGUGGCUGAUGAGUUGGAGAGCGGAGGGUGUCACAGUCCAGCAGAGAACAACAGAGGACUUAGAAGAGCACUUCUGUGUACAGCCAAUAACUAUCAAAUAGCCAAAUACAUGGGAGCAAUUUGCAGAAAAUCCCCACCUUGUAUAUAAUAAUAAGAGUCUCAGCGCAUAGGAGGUGAAGCUGAAGACUGUUGCGAAAGGUGUUAGGUUGCAGACCACUUAGAGAGCCCAAUGUCAAGGUUAAAAUGCCUUUGAAAAAGCAUAUCUAUUAAUCAGACUGAGACAGAAAAAUUGUAAGAAAAAGGGCACAUGAGCAAUACAGAGCUGCAACAAGCUGCCAGCCAGCAUAAUAGUAAUAACAUUCUAACAGGGCUUUUGCUCAAAGACUUUGAAAGACCAUGAGGUUUAAAAAGACCUAAAGGGCUUGUGACAAAAGCCACAUGCCUAGGAGAUGGGUUGUUGACUUGUAACUCCAUCUGCCUCAGACGAUUCUUCAAGCAGCUCUUUAAAGGUCACACGACAGAAGGAGUUCAGUGGAAGGUGUAGCAACCUGUUUGGAGAAACCUCGUCUGCAUGCAUGUGGCUAAAACACAGGUAGGAGUUGCAGUAUCCUUCAUGAGCUCUUAUAGUGAAGAGAGCGCUAAUUUGAAAAUGAGAGUCCUCCUAAUUGUUGCAGAAUGGACAGGGAGAGGCAGGGCUCUUGCAGGGUUUCCAGCUGGGAAGACACACAGAAGAAGGAGAAGUCUUGUAUUUUCCAUAUGGUGGAAGCCAUGGAAGAGAGCACCAUGCUUUCCUCUCUUUGCAAAUUGUCUUCUUGUUGCUAAUAAGCCUAGCAACUAUUUUAAUUAGAAGUCACAAAGAUGAGCUUUGAAUAAAUCGGAUUCUGGUCCCUGAGGAGCUCAAGGGUCAAUAUUGGAGCCUCCUGACCUUGGACAGGAAGGAAAUUUCUUCAAUGGAUGGAUGGAUGGAUGAAAAGAUCAGUUCGUAAAUCCAGUUUUAAUUUAUAAAUAUUCACAUCUUUCUGAGUACACCAUUUUUUACCCCUCAAAGCCUGUGUUUCAGCAGUCGACAUAGGGCAAUAAACACAUAAAUGAUGGUGACCAAACCUGCAUGUGAAGAGUCUCAACCGCCUAAUUACCUGGCUGCAGGUGACCUGAGUGUUUCUGGGAGCAAGGUGGAACCUGGAAAGUCCCUGAGACUUCACAUGUGCUUUAUAAGCCCUUGGCAUUUCAGGCACACGGGUAAAACUCAACUUGGUCUAGCAGAGGCAGAGACACACUGCCAGGCUGUGAACUAUAUAAAGAAUUUGGUUCCCUGGGAUAUGGACCAAUAAUCUCCUUGAGGUGCCUGAGACCAUGAAGCUGAAUUAUGGCUGUAUUAUGUCAAGUCUUGAAGUUCAAGCAUUGUAUGGAGGAGCAAUCCCUUUGUGCUCUACACAUUUGGUGGAUACAUGAACCAUCUCAGGCUCCAGUCCUGUCAACCAAAAUGCUUUUGUCCCAGCAAAAGUACACUUUAAAAGACAGCACGUCACACAGCAUUCACUUUGCUAUUUUAAACUGUACACACAUUCAACAUCAUGGAGCAGCUGAGCACCAGGACAUGGUAUUCACACUGGAAUCCAUUUCGGAGAGGUUCACCCUUGUAGCACUUCCAGAGGAGUCCAGAACAGUGAGAUUUUAUCCAAUUGCCUGGGCUGCAGAACAGCUCUGAGCAGACCCCUGAAGGGUCAAUGACCGGUUACAUUAAAAAGCUAGAAAAAUGGCUAUGUGCCACAAAGCACUGAGCUGUAGUUAUAGCUGUGAUCCUCUGGAAAAUGAGACUAAUUAUUCAGAUAUGCUGAUAAUGAUUACUCCUGAAAUAGUUCUGAUCAGCCAGUCCUGUGAAAGAUUUGACAUGUGUCCAAAGCUCUUUGUCCCUUCCGUCAGCCAUCCAACCUAACAAUCACAACUGUCCCGCUGAUAUCUUAACCUUUCAGGACAAAAUGAGGAAAUGGCCAGGCAACAAAAAUGCCCCCCAAAGAGUCCCUGAACUAAGCACAGGCUCAGAAACUUGUUACAUUAAAUUUUAUUUAAGCACAGUCGUAAUAGUCUUUUAUUAUCCAUCUGGGUAAACUCUGAAACGGCAAAAAAAAGGGCAAAACCUGCAGGAAACUGAUUUGAAAGCUGCCCUGCAUCAUUCCGGAGUGAGCAGGUAAUGAGCUCAUGCAAGUCUGUGCUGGGACGUGUACACACGUUGGGAUUUACACUUUCAGAUUUCAGUGUUUGCAUGCAAGUUCAAGUUCAGCAUUUCCUGGUGGGUGAGAGCCUCCUUAUGGCUAUUGAUUAAUGUAGAGCCUUCUGGCUGGAUUUCUAAAGGAGAAAAAUGUGGAGAAAAAGAACUCAAAACAAGUCAAGGAACUUAAUUGCUUCAGCUCUUACAUAUCAACUAUUUUGCAGGAAAGUGGCUGUAUCACAGCACAUUUAUUUCCCAUGUCUGCAUUAUAAUACCUCCCUAGGCUAAGGCAGCUGAGGCUGAUGCGGAACUUCCAGGGUUGACUAUGGGGUUUAGAGGAUGUGGUGGGACGUGAGACUUGGGGCAAGACUCCACGACCCCAGAGGUCCGUUCCUGCCUGGAGUUCCUAUGAGAACACCCUGACCUCCCUCUCCCUCUUCUCCACCAUCCCCUUCCCCCUCCAUCGCAGUCUGCACAGGCAGAAUUGCCCAAAAUUCAGCCCAGCCCGAAGCUACUGUCACCUGAACAUGCAGUAAGGGGUUCCACCAAGGCUCUUGCUGGGCUGUGCUUCACUUUCUGCCUCCAGUACAUGUCUCCUUCAGUAGGAAAGUGGAGAGAGAUUGCUUUUCAUGUAUUUUUUUGUUUGAUCCUCUGCAAAAGUCUUGUAUUUUCCAAAAGUCAGAUUAAUUCUUGCCCCUAGUUUCAAAUAAAAAUGUCUCCUUGUGGGCAAAGUCACACCUUGGGAGUUUUCUGUGGGAAAAGCAGAAAUUUAGGAGAGCUCUGAGUAAGAAAAGCAGGGGAAAAGCUAGAGAUGGCAUUUAUAUGUUGUUUAAAGCUGUCACUGCCUCUUUAGCUCUUUCUUGCUGCCUCUGAGGAACAUUCAGCCACAGAAUGCUUUAAAGCAGCUUGCUUUAGUAAUACUGGGGUUUUUUUUGUUGAGCUAUUUUUUUUAAUCACUGGAUCUCAAAAUAUUUUUUUAAGUAAGUAAAGCUAGAUUCCUUACUUCAUUUAACAGUAGGUGAAGUGAAUUGCCCCAGCCAUGUAUUAUAUGCCAUUGUCAGAACUGAAAAUAGAACCGAGCCUCUUGUACAAUGCACUGCCCACUCUGCUCCACUGUUUGAGAAAGCAAAAAAUAUCCUUUUAUCCCCCAGAAUACUUUAUGAAUAAAUACUUCAUAGCACAUUGGCAUAAAAAUGGUCAUUUGCCAUGCUGGAAAGGCUCUUCUGGCACUUGGUGAUUCGCAGUCCCAUAGUCACAUCCAAAAAACCUUUGUGUCAUCAGUGUCCUAUGGCGCAAUGAUCUCUGUGUCCUGCCAGGUUCUGCCCAUGAGCAGGGACUCAUCAAGGGGAGCUGCAGCCCUGGAAAUGGCAGCAGAAUUUGGGCAAGGUAGCUUGAAAAUUAGCUUGCUUUUGCACAUAUGCACAGACCCUGGGGGAGACGACCGCUCGCCUGAAGUAGUCACAACAAAUGUUUCAUGGACCAUAAAGAUUGUGAGGGGCCAUCGCACAUUUCUCCCAUGAGUUCCUUUGCAACACAGGGCAAAGAAUAAUUUUGGCAUUUGGAUGCUAACUAAUUUUUGGCUGUAUGGUGCAGCAGUACAGUUGCCUACUUUAUUUUAUUUUUAGCCCGCUGCUGACAGAUAUCUGAGGGGGGGCUUUUCUGCUUAUUUCACACUGUGGCAGUGCUUGCCCAACUUAGCUGGCUGUGGACGAUGCAGUAAAGAAAAUUAAAGUGAAAUUUGGCACACAAGGUUAGUUUGCCUUACUUCAGAGAAGCAUUCAGGGGCAGUUAAAGCAGAGCACUAGGAACAACCCAUCCCCAUCUUAAAUACACUUUCGUUUGCUUUAAAACUCCAGUUGUCACUUCUGUGCCUCCCAUUUAAUCUGCCUCCAACACCCCAGCAUUCUCAAUGGUUAUAAAUAGAGGGGCAGCUCGAAUGAAACAACGCUUUCAAUGCUUCCAGUUAUCUGUCAACAGUCUCUUACAAAUGCAAUAGAAUUUUCUCCCAGAAGAGACGUUGGGUUUACUGGUGAUUUGUGUUAUUUUUCCUCUCUUGUACACAG